AUCAACGCUGCACUCAACGGC
rnacentral:miRNA from 1 species